rnacentral:tRNA from 1 species
GGGUGUGUAGCUCAGUUGGUUAGAGCUCGGAGCUUAUACCUCCGCGGUCCCUGGUUCGAGUCCAGGCACACCCACCA